CCUACGGGUGGCAGCAGUGGGGGAUAUUGCACAAUGGAGGGAACUCUGAUGCAGCGACGCCGCGUGAGGGAAGAAGGUUUUCGGAUUGUAAACCUCUGUCUUCGGUGACGAAACUAGACGGUAGCCGAGGAGGAAGCCACGGCUAACUACGUGCCAGCAGCCGCGGUAAUACGUAGGUGGCAAGCGUUGUCCGGAAUUACUGGGGGAAAAGGGAGGGUGGGGGGGAAAGAAGGUUGAAUGGUUAAGGUAGGGGGUAAACCUGUAACAGCGUUCGAAACUGUUUUUCUUGAGUGGAGUAGAGGGAAGCGGAAUUCCUAGUGUAGCGGUGAAAUGCGUAAAUAUUAGGAGGAACACCAGUGGCGAAGGCGGCUUACUGGGCUUUAACUGACGCUGAGGCUCGAAAGCGUGGGUAGCAAACAGGAUUAGAUACCCUGGUAGUC
rnacentral:rRNA from 1 species